rnacentral:rRNA from 1 species
GUCGUAACAAGGUUUCCGUAGGUGAACCUGCGGAAGGAUCAUUAUUGAAAUAAACCUGAUGGGUUGUUGCUGGUUCUCUAGGGAGCAUGUGCACGCCUUGUCAUCUUUAUAUUUUGCUUCAUUUACCCCCCAAUGUAUGUCAAUAGAAUGUUGUGCCUAUAAUAAUAUAUACAACUUUCAGCAACGGAUCUCUUGGCUCUCGCAUCGAUGAAGAACGCAGCGAAAUGCGAUAAGUAAUGUGAAUUGCAGAAUUCAGUGAAUCAUCGAAUCUUUGAACGCACCUUGCGCUCCUUGGUAUUCCGAGGAGCAUGCCUGUUUGAGUGUCAUUAAUAUAUAUAUCAAACUUUCUCUUUGUUGAGUGGUUUGGAUGUGGGGGUUUGCUGGCCUCUUAAAAAGGUUCAGCUCCUCUGAAAUGCAUUAGCAGAACAAACCUGUUCAUUGGUGUGAUAACUAUCUACGCUAUUGAAUGUAAGGGGCAGUUCAGCUUUCUAAUGGUCUUUGGACAAUUCAUCAUUAAUGUGACCUCAAAUCAGGUAGGACUACCCGCUGAACUUAAGCAUAUCAAUAAGCGGAGGAAAAGAAACUAACAAGGAUUCCCCUAGUAACUGCGAGUGAAGCGGGAAAAGCUCAAAUUUAAAAUCUGGCGGUCCUUUGGCUGUCCGAGUUGUAAUCUAGAGAAGUGUUAUCCGCGCUGGACCGUGUACAAGUCUCCUGGAAUGGAGCAUCAUAGAGGGUGAGAAUCCCGUCUUUGACAUGGACUACCGGGGCUUUGUGAUGCGCUCUCAAAGAGUCGAGUUGUUUGGGAAUGCAGCUCAAAAUGGGUGGUAAAUUCCAUCUAAAGCUAAAUAUUGGCGAGAGACCGAUAGCGAACAAGUACCGUGAGGGAAAGAUGAAAAGAACUUUGGAAAGAGAGUUAAACAGUACGUGAAAUUGCUGAAAGGGAAACGCUUGAAGUCAGUCACGUCGUCCAGGGAUCAACCUUGCUUUUGCUUGGUGCACUUUCUGGUUUGACGGGUCAGCAUCAAUUUUGACCAUUGGAAAAAGGCUAAGGGAAUGUGGCAUCCUUGGAUGUGUUAUAGCCCUUGGUCACAUACAAUGGUUGGGAUUGAGGAACUCAGCAUGCCGCAAGGCCGGGUUUUAAACCACGUACGUGCUUAGGAUGCUGGCAAUAUGGCUUUAAUCGACC